GCAAACUUGGUCAUUUAGAGGAAGUAAAAGUCGUAACAAGGUUUCCGUAGGUAUGUAUUGCGUCGACCCCCAUUCCUCUUAAGUAAACUUGUGCUAACGUUGAAUUUCUAGGUGAACCUGCGGAAGGAUCAUUACCGAGAUAGGGUCUUCACAGGCCCGACCUCCCAACCCUAUGUUUAUUAAACCUAUGUUGCUUCGGCGGGCCCGUCUCACGACCGCCGGAGGACCGUAAAACGUCCUCUGGCCCGUGCCCACCGGUAGCCAAACUUGACAAACUCUGAAUCAAAUCGUGUCACUGUCUGAGUACCAUUUUUAAUUAAAAACAAAACUUUCAACAACGGAUCUCUUGGUUCUGGCAUCGAUGAAGAACGCAGC
rnacentral:misc_RNA from 1 species